AGUGGCGGACGGGUGAGUAACGCGUGAGUACCCUGCCCCUAGGAAAGGGAUAGCGUCUGGAAACGGACGGUAAUACCAUAUAAAGUAUAUUAACGGCAUCGUAGAUAUACCAAAGCUGAGGCGCCUAAGGAUGGACUCGCGUCUGAUUAGAUAGUUGGUGGGGUAACGGCCUACCAAGUCGACGAUCAGUAGCCGGACUGAGAGGUUGAACGGCCACAUUGGGACUGAGACACGGCCCAGACUCCUACGGGAGGCAGCAGUGGGGAAUAUUGCACAAUGGGCGAAAGCCUGAUGCAGCAACGCCGCGUGAAGGAAGACGGUUUUCGGAUUGUAAACUUCUGUUCUUAGUGAAGAAUAAUGACGGUAACUAAGGAGCAAGCCACGGCUAACUACGUGCCAGCAGCCGCGGUAAUACGUAGGUGGCAAGCGUUGUCCGGAAUUACUGGGUGUAAAGGGAGCGUAGGCGGGAAGCCAAGUCAGCUGUGAAAACUACGGGCUUAACCUGUAGACUGCAGUUGAAACUGGCUUUCUUGAGUGAAGUAGAGGUUGGCGGAAUUCCGAGUGUAGCGGUGAAGUGCGUAGAUAUUCGGAGGAACACCGGUGGCGAAGGCGGCCAACUGGGCUUUAACUGACGCUGAGGCUCGAAAGUGUGGGGAGCAAACAGGAUUAGAUACCCUGGUAGUCCACGCAGUAAACGAUGAAUGCUG
rnacentral:rRNA from 1 species